rnacentral:lncRNA from 1 species
UAUCAGUACUAUGACUGCAUUUUUCCAGUUGUGCUGUAUCUAUCCUGUUUGUAUAUAAUCAGAGAAUAUUCUGGCAAAUUGUUUUUACAAGAACUUUCUGACUUAUGAUGGUCCAACUUACAAUGAUCUUCAUGAUAGUGAUUAUUUAUGCUGAAAAUCUACUUACGACAGCUGCAAUCAAUGAUUUUUGCAAUAAUGGCAGCCAGUCCUGUAGAUGGCCAAGUUGUUGCAAGGAUGGAAGCAUGUUGUAUUACCACCAUGCAAUAUUUAUAUUUAAUUUUGGGUGUCAUAUCUCCAGAAUUUUUUAAGUGUCUAGGCUCAACUCAUUCAACCCCAUCCUAAAUGCAUAGAAAUAUAGAAU